UCCUUACCCGAUGCUCGCACCUCCUCAACUGGCUCUUUUAGACGCAAAGGAGCAGCGGCUCUACUCCGAGUUCCUCACAGAUGACUGAGCUUCUCACCCUAUCUCUAAGGGAGACACCAGCCACCCUCCUGAGAAAACCCAUUUCAGCCACUUGUACCCACAAUCUAGUUCUUUCAGUCAUGACCCAGCCA